UUUUAUUUGGGAAUGAAAUUAUAAGAUGGGGUAGAAACCCCACAACACCUUUGGUUUCGGAAACCCCAUUUGUAGCUAACAAAAUGAUCUUCCAUGCAUAUCACAUUUCUUGGUUUUGCUUUUGUCCUGGGGUUUUGCUUUUAUUUCUUAAGGUUGGGGUUGUUUCUUUGUACUUUUUGUCUGGCACUUUCAUUGUCGAGGGCUUGUUUUGUUUUGUCAACUCAGUGUCUCACUUUGGCCAGGGUAGCCCUGUACUCACUAUGUAUUUAAGGAUAGCCCUGAACAACCUAUUUUCCUGCCUCUACCUCCCAAGUGCUAGGAUUACAAGUGUGUACAAUUGGACCCACCCAUUUGUGCCUCUGCGUAUACGCGAGCACGCCCUUGUUGCUAGGGAUGGAACCGAAGUCCUCACAUGAACUAGGCAAGUACUCUACAACCGAGCAAUAUUUCUAACUCAUGUUUGCCUUUCAGAACUACUAAUCCUAGCCGGCCUCCACUAGACCUGAAACAGUGGAGAGGAUCUGGUCUUCUUUUCUGUGAGAAUGUUUUGAUCAAUGUUUUGAGUUAGUGUGCAAAAUAAUGACUUCCACUGUAAAAUAAUUACAGUUGCAUGUUCUUUGUUAAGACUUAGUACAUGGGGUUGAGGAUUUAGCUCAGUGGUAGGGCGCUUGCCUAGCAAGCACAAGGCCCUGGGUUCCGUCCCCAGCUCCAAAGAAAAAGAAAAAAAGAAAAAAAAAAGACUUAGUACAUGGGGAGAUCACACAGCCAUGUCACCUGUGUGCAGGUCCAAGGACAACUUGUAGGACUUCACUUUUUUUUCCUUGCAGCAGUCCUCAUUAUGGCCUUUUCAUACGCAGGGCAGGAGUCCCUGCAGGUUCUGUGGUCGGCAGGGAAAUGAUUUGGGUGAGGAUCUUGCGUUGAGUACCUGCCCUGACUUCACAUCACGAUGGUCCCUAGACAGCAAAACAAGAAGGCUAGUGAAGAGAAGAACAUGAUUGGCAUUCAGAAUCAGCGGCACAACUUUGAAGUCCUACAGAUCAAGUGCGAGAACAUUGAAAGGAACAUUUCUACAGUGAAGAGUUAAGUGACAGCAUUCUUAUUGUCUGCCGUGUAUACUGUGUGGGAAUGAGACAUCAUGUCAGCGGCUGGGAAAUACAAAGGGAUCAGGAAGAAGUGUGUAGUGAUGGCAGUGUCAUCUGUAGACUGGGCCAAAAAAAUCCACUGAGUUCAGGACAGCAGUUGGCGAUCUCUACUGGACAAAGGAUGAGAGAAGCCUAUCUGUGGUCUUACAAAGACUUCAGGGCUACAGUUGUGAUGAAGACCAGGGAUGGGACAGUCCUCUCCCUGUGUGCCAUUGCAUACUAACAUGAAAGCUUCACUCUGGGGAUGAUAAAGAGAUCUUUCACCAUAAGCCAUUGUGUGUGGGUGAACAAUAACGUCACCAACGUUAAGUGGAAGUGUAGAUCCCUGGAAGAGCUCAUGUAUCUGGCCUGAUAAGGCCCUGUGUUAUAGUCCCUGUGUCAAAAACAAAGUAAGCUAGACAGCCUUGUGAACCAGUUCCUCAGUGGAGUCAUUACUGGAGCUCCCACCAGCGUUGCAGGUGAACACUGUUAUCGAUUAUCGCUGCAUAGGUGAGAUCUGCUAACCCAGACCAACUCAGAGCAUCUCAACAGGCAGUUGGCACAGGCACAGAACCUGGUUUGGGAAUUCAGUGUGAAUUUGGGACUGUUAAGGAGAACAGGAGAGGGUAGCACAGCCAGGAGAACUGAAUGUGCCUCCAGUUCAGUUCCAAAUCUCGGGGAACAGGGCAAUGGCCCAUUUUCCAAGAUGGUAUCCUUGGAGGUGACUGAAGCUGAGAAGCCUCGGAAAUAAUGAUGGCAGGAGAGGCCUGUACACAGUAAGCUGGAGAGAGUGGGUCAAGCAGGAGGAAUGAGGGCUAGCCAUUUAUUCUCCAUGGAAAUAGAGGAGAGCAGUGCAGACUUGCUUUUACUCUCUUCCUAGAAAGAUAUGAUCGUGGUUGGGUUUUGAGUCACAGGAGAUAGACACACAGGAGAGGCUCAGAGAUCCUUGCCAGUACUAAAAAUGUCAUUAGGUUCCUUCCAGGAGACAGAGCUCCCUUAACCACUCCUUCUGCUCCCCACCCACACUCCCCUUUAUUUUGCCUCCUUCCAAGUGACAGAUCCAAAUUCUGUAGUAGAAAAAUAAUCACACUUCGCCUAACCCCACAUCUAGCCCUCCGCUCCCAUCAAACUCCAUGCCCAGUAUGGAUCGAUGUUUUUCAGAUAAGAAUCCAACUUUCCUCUUUUUGACUUACAAUUCUAAUUCUUAUUAGUAACAAGUAUUUUGUGGGAUUGGAGGGAUUGAAUUCAGGUCAUCCCAUUGAGGUUCUCAAACUUCCUGAUGCUUCUACCUUUUAAUACAGUUCUUCGUGUUGUGGUGACCCCAAUCACAAAAUUGUUUUCAUUGCUACUUCAUAAUUGUCAUUUUGCUACUGUUAUGAGUCGUAAUGUAAAUAUUUGUAUUUCCUGAUGCUCUUAAGUUACUCCUGUGAAAGGGUAGUAAGACAACCCCCAAGGGGUCACAGCCUGCAGGUUGAGAAUUACUGCAGUUCCAAAUCUCAGGAAACAGGAAAAAUGGUUCAUUUAGCUAUUCCCUGGAACACUAGAACACUCCCGUUCUGAGUCUCACUGUGCUGCUUUUGUGUUUAUCAAUGGAACCAAAGCCCUGAAAGAAAUGACAUGAGGAAAGACAGUUAUUUUCAGAUAUUAAUAUAUCAAUAUCAGGUAAUUCGCUCCUUCUUUACUUGACCAGGGCCCUUGGGCAAAACUCAGUAGUAGCAGAGGAUGUUCUCUCCUUCCUAGUGGGCAGGGUGCAGAUAGAAUAGGAGCUCAGGGGGUGGUGCAGAUGAAAUCUGAUGGAAAUACUGAUACCAACCUUUCCUCUGCCCCCUAGGAAAGUGGAAAUCUGUGAGCUCGAAACCAACCUAAGACUUUCAGACUAGCCAGAGAUACAUAGUAAGAUCCUCUGUGAUGGUUUGCCUAUGCUUGGUCCAGGGAAUGGCACUAUGUGGAGGUGUGGCCCUGUUGGAGUAGGCGUGUCACUGUGGGGGUGGGCUUUAAGACCCUCCUCCUAGCUGCCUGGAAGCCAGUCUUCUUCUGUUUGCCUUCAGGUGAAGAUACAGGACUCUCAGCUACUCCUGUACCAUGCCAGCCUGGACACUGCCAUGCUUCUGCCUUGAUGAUAAUGGACUGGACCUCUGAGCCUGUAAGCCAGCCCCAAUUAAAUGCUGUCUUUAUGAGAGUUGUUGGUC
ensembl:lncRNA